UUUUUUCAGGGAGAAGAUUUAGAGACAGUUUUCUUGCUCUAUGAACCUCCAGGAUGUGGGCCCUGAACUUUUGAAUAAAUAUGUUGGAGAAAGUGAGCUGCAACUGCGGACAAUAUUUAGCCGUGCAAGAAUGUGUUCGCCAUGUAUACUUUUCUUUGAUGAGGUUUGUGGUUCUCUCUUUUUGACAGUUAACUUGUUAUUGCUUUAUAUAUAUAGACCUUAUAAAUCUUUAUUAUUUCACUGUAUCUAACAGUGUAGUUAACUUGGUAUUUCUGGGAUGAACCUCAGUUAUAUAUAUAAUGCUUAUCUCUGUCAUAUAAUUUUUGGAGUUAUUUCGUCUUUACUGUUUUAGAUGCUUUCAAAAAUCUUUCUUUCUGAAGACGGACACAGCUGUUACGAGUCAACACUGAUAUGCGAUGUUCAACACGAUACUGAAGUAUUAGUUUACUGGAAAACAGAACACGUUUGUGUGUAUAGCAAUUAAGAAAGUGAUAAUGAUCUGUAAUUUACUAGCUAGACAAAAGUAAAUAUAAUCUUGAUUAUUUUGCUCUCUUUUGUACACAUAAAGAUGAGUUCCUUUUAGGUAUCCAAAUGAAUGUUCGACACCAGUGGGCAUGAGUUUUGCGUCCUCAAGUGUCCUACAGCAAAUUUUUCUGUCUAAGAAGUGUUCUAUGAAUCCAAACUCUUUAAAGUUUGUUCCCUUAAUUAUUGAGAGGUGGACGCUAUAACAACUAAGCAGGAGAGCGGAGAGGCAUGGGUUGUUCAGUGGCUAUUGAAGCAGGUACAAUAAUCCUGAAAGGCAAUCUCAAAUCAUUUAUAGCAACUGGUGGGAGUUCAGAAGUUCAGAUGCGCCACCACCAUCGAUUAUCAACAAUAUUCACUUUGAGCAAGCAUGAGCUACAAUCACACCAUUAUCCAUUGAGAAAAUUCGUUGGUACCAGAAUUUUGGAGAGGAAGAACAAAAGACUCCCCGUGAACACUGUGUUGAAGGAUUCAUGAACUUUGCAGCACCGAGAAGUUGAGCUACGAGUGUCCCAUGGAAGAGUAUUUUAACUGUCAGAGAAGGCCUAAAGAACUAAGAAAUGAAACAUAAGACUCAGCAGAACAAGAAAUUAUGAGAGGAAAACAAAUUUUGACAGUGAUUUUAACUUUUGUGUCCUGUACUUUAAUUAUUACUAGAACUUGAUGAUGUUGGGCAGGAUACACUCUCCCAAUGGCAUUACUCAUUGUCAUCUAUACAACAAAGCUAUUUCUUAGCUCAACUUCACGUUCAGGCUUAAACGAUUGACUUGUUUACAUAAAGGAGUUGGUCUAAGCACAAAGGUGGCUGGUGAUCUCAAGCCUUGUAUCAUUUGUUUGACCCAGUCUUCGUCUUCAUCAAUGUCUAUUCUGAUCUUUCUCAAAUCUUUCUUCCGCGCUUCUUCUUCAAGCAUGUAAGCGUCCCCAAACUGUCAAGAAAUGUUUGUUUCACAAUUCUGUCCUCCAAACUGUGGAAAGAGAUGUGACUGCUAGCCUACCACCAGGUGCAAGGCAGUUAAAGCAUGAAUAAAGAGAAUCACUUAGAGGAGUUGCAGAUUA